AUCACUCCCCUCUUUCCACAACCAAACCCCCUUUUUUCCUUGAAUCCCUUAUUUUGUUUCUUCGUUUAAUUUCUGCCAUUACUAUCUGAAAUUUCAAUGGGGAACUUUAAUCUGCUUCCGAAAGAGAUCAUGUUAGAGACCUUAUCUCGUGUUCCAACAGAAUUCGUCCUUGAGUGUAAAUUGGUAUCGAAACCAUGGAAAAAUUUGAUUCAACAUCCAUCUUUCUCGUUGAUCCACUUGAAUCAUCUCAAUAAUCUCGAUUCUGCCCAUGAUCCUGGAAUACCUUAGUGUCAUUGAAAGAAUUAGGAGAAAAAUAUACGGAACUAAUGGACUCAGGUGAAAGAGCAAGAUCUAGCAGGGAGACAGAAAGCAGUGGUCAUGAGCUGACGGAACAGAAGGAAGAAAAAGAUCUCUAAAUGAGUAUAAACGGUUUCAGUUCAAAAGUCUAAAGCCAUAGAUCUUCGUCCAUUUGCAGGUUGCUGAAUUGGUAUACAGAAGGCUGCAAGUCUGGUGUUUAGAAGAUGAGCAUGCAGUCUUUUGGUAAGUUAUGUUGCAGACCACAAAGAGACAAGUAAUGUAGAAUAAUUUGUUCCAAACAAGUAAACAAUCAAAAAUAAGAACUGGUAAUGUCAGCCUAGGCACUUAGCUGUAUGCAUUUUAGUCGUCAUGAUGCCCCAUGGUUGUUGUUUUUUCUUUUUGUUUUGCCUCUUAAAUUAAAGCUUGUUUUUGCUUAAUUAUACUCUGAUCAGUGUUAGGAUUUUGGCUUCAAGAUUAGCCUAGCUUAAAAAGUCUUGACUUGCUUGUGCGUUGACCAUUUAGAAUUGUGUAUUUGUCGGAUCAUGAAUACUGUGGUUUACAUUUCACGGUAGAAGGCGAGCAUUAGAGGCUUCCUCUUCGGAUGGUACUCAAGUGACAAAGCAAACACCUCAAGAAUGGAUUAAAAUAGACAACACCUUGGGCGCUUGACCCUCAAUCACCUAUAAGGUAUCACCCUGCAAUGCAACAUUUUUAGUUAUAAGACAAUAUAUUUCAUUUCCCCCUCGGAAACAAAAACAACCCAUUUCUAAGUAUCAGACACUCUCCACAACCAAACCCCUUUUCCCCUUGAAACCCUAGUUUUUUCAUACUUCGAUUUACUCUCUCUUCUGCAAUUAAAUCUCUGAAAUCGCUUCUCCUCAAUUGCAAUUUCAAUGGGGAAUUUUAAUAUGCUCCCAAAAGAGAUCAUGUUAGAAAUCUUCUCCCGUGUACCAGCUGAAUCUCUAUUAGAAUGCAAAUCGGUAUCAAGACCAUGGAGAAAUUUGCUUCGACAUCCAUCUUUUCCGCAGAUGCACUUGAAUCAUCUCAAUGAAAUUGAUUCUGCAGGUAAUUUGAGUUUGAUUUUUUAUACAAAAUGGUCUGAACCGUUUUACUAUACCGAGUAUGAUGAAAAUUUAAACCGUUUUAAUAGAACAAUAAGGAUCGAUUUAAGACCUCCAUUUGAAAAUUAUUAUAUCCUUUGCUCUUGUAAUGGUUUAAUCUGUUUCAGUGCAUUCCAUGAGAGUUAUUAUCCGCAACCUGUAUAUAUCUGUAAUCCAAUCACCAGAGAGUAUAUUGUGAUCCCGACGAUUGAAGGAAAAGCCUUGUCAACUGGAUUUGGUUACAGCCCUUCAACCAACAAGUACAAAGUUGUUAGAAUUUUUAGAAAUCAGAAAAACCCAGAUUGUGGAGUUAUUCGGGUAUACAAUCUUGGCAGUGGCAUUGGAUGGAGAAACAGUGGAAAGGUGGACUAUGAUGUCAAUUGUCAUGUCUUUUUUCCCACGAGGUGUGUUUGCCAAUGGUGCUAUUCAUUGGUGGAAUAAAAAAGGAACCAUUGUUUCCUUGGAUUUGGCUGAUGAAGUGUUUCUGGAACUUCCAUCUCUACCGUUUUUGCUACAAGCUGGUAAUCCGAAUCCUAUUAUUAAACUACAUGGUUUGGGGUUUUUUUUUAUGUGCAUGCUAUCGCAAUGGUCUAAGUUUUGACAUGUGGGUUUUUAAGAAGAAUAUUUGGAGUAAAGAGUUUAGUAAUAUUAAUGGAAAACCGAUCAGCUUUAGGAAGAGUGGCGGACUUCUAUGCUACGGUAGAUGUGGUAAAAACGUCUAUCUCUACACUUCAAAAGCUUCAUCUACCAAAGGCUUGUGAAUUUUGGAAAGGAUUUCCAUGUUGGAGUCCCUCACAAGAACUCCUUAGUGUCGUUGAAAGCAUUAGGGGAAGAAGUUACGAAACUGUUGGAUUCAGGUGAAAGAGCAAGAUCUAGUGGGGAACAAGAAAGCAGUGAUCAUUUUCCAACAGAGAAGAAGGAAGAAAAAAAUCUCUAAAAUAAUGGGAACCGGUUGCCGAAUUUGUAUCGACUUCUUCAUGUCGGCAAAUCUGGCGUUAAGAAGACGAACAUUCAGUCUUUUGGUACUUAUGUUGCAGAAGGCAUAGAGACAAGUAAUGAACAAACGAGACUAGGACUCGAAGCCAAUUUAAUCUUAAAUGAAAUCGUUACUGAUUUGUUACAAACAAGUAAACAAUAUGGAAGAUCAAGUAGUUGUUGUUAAAGUAAACAAUCAGAAUUAAGAACUGGCAGCGUCGCCUAGUCGAGAAGGGUGUCCUGAGACUCAUGAUGCCCCAUGGUUUGUCAUGUUUCCUUUUUAUUUUGCUUGUUAAUUUAAAACUUGAUUUUGCUUAUACUCUUCCAAGCUAGGAUUUUGGCUUGAAAAACAGCAUAGCUUAUAAAGUCUUGACUUGCUUAUGUUAUUGACCAUUUAGCAGUAUGGGAUCCAUGAAU